rnacentral:rRNA from 1 species
GAUGAACGCUGGCGGCGUGCUUAACACAUGCAAGUCGAACGGAAUGGCCUCAGCUUGCUGGGGUACUUGAGUGGCGAACGGGUGAGUAACACGUGGGUGAUCUGCCCUGCACUUUGGGAUAAGCCCGGGAAACUGGGUCUAAUACCGAAUAUGACCACUUCUUGGAUGUUGUGGUGGAAAGCUUUUGCGGUGUGGGAUGAGCCUGCGGCCUAUCAGCUUGUUGGUGGGGUAAUGGCCUACCAAGGCGGCGACGGGUAUCCGGCCUGAGAGGGGGUACGGACACAUUGGGACUGAGAUACGGCCCAGACUCCUACGGGAGGCAGCAGUGGGGAAUAUUGCACAAUGGGCGCAAGCCUGAUGCAGCGACGCCGCGUGGGGGAUGAAGGCCUUCGGGUUGUAAACUCCUUUCGCUAUCGACGAAGCCACUUGUGGUGACGGUAGGUAGAUAAGAAGCACCGGCUAACUACGUGCCAGCCGCCGCCGUAA